GACUCCUACUCUUCCUCUUCGUGGGCGCUGCGCUUGACGCCGUGACCAAUCACAGGCCACGUCGCGUCGCUGCAGCCAAUCGGAAGAGCCUAGAACAUUAAGACGAGCAUUUGACGGCUCCUCCUCUCUGUUCCAGGGUGCUUAGUGGAUUUAGUUGUUUAUGGUCUAGUUUUGCUACUGUUUCAACACGCUCCGGUUACAUCCGGUGCCAUCGUGGUUCUUGUGAGGCAAGGCCUGAGAAUGCGAAGCGGGGAGGUAGGAGUAAUAUUGAGGUGAAACUAGGGGCAUGCCGUUAGGUGUCCGUUCCCUGAUGUGGUGAUAUUAUAGGAGCUGUUGGGAUGGUUGGCCUUAGAUAUGUGACCCCGGAGGAGCAUGAAUAAGAGUGUUAAUACGGGGAUACGUCGUUUUUUAAUUCAACGAACCUUUUCUACAAGACCGUUUGUCACUGUGGGCAAUUAAGGAAACAAGGCGAGGGUGAUUCCAACAUUUCCAAGCCAGAUUGCGUCUUUUUCCCCUUGUUGUUUUCUUAGUCCAGAUUCCAGCCAAAAGGAAUUACAUUCUUGGAGAUGUUGGAAAAAGAUUCCUGGGACUUCAAAGAUAAUCACUCCAAAUAUACAGGGGAGUGGGAGGAGGGCAAAGCAGAGAGACAUCAUCUUCUGGGCUCUCACUUGGCAAGCCUUGGUUUCUUGAUGGCUGUUGGCUGAAGACUUAAGUGCUUCACCAUGAGAACCUCUCCAUAGGCUGCCUGAGAACUCUCACAACAUGACAACUAUCUUUCCCCAGAGGGAAUGAUCCAAGAGAGAAAUGCCAAGUUAACAUGUAAGUCGACACAUAUGAGGGUGUGAAUACCAAGAGGUGGGAGAUCAUUGGGGACCAUCUUGGAGGUUGACUAUCACCCUUUACUCUUUUUUUGUUUUUUUUUUUUUUAAACUGCUUCAAUUUAUUGAAUCAAGAGAUUUAACAUUAGACCCUCUGGUCAGAUAAUGAGAAGUAUGAGAGCAUAUGUAUUCAAAUAAGUGCUCUCUUUUCUAAGAUGCACGGUUUCUUGCCCAUGAAUAUAUCAAUUCCAUAAGUGAUGCCACUCCUAUUGGAAAUUUUCUAGAGAAUAUAUAAGAAAGCUUAUUUUAUAGAUAGAGAAUAUUGGACUUUGAUCAUAUAUGUUUUUUUUUCUUGGACCCAUUUCUCCUCUCCCAACUCCUCCUUAGGUGCAGGUGGUUAGAGAAGCUGGAAGUAGACUAUAGAUAGAAAUUGAGUACCCCUAUCCCUGGUAUUUUGCUUGGGGUGCAGACUGACUUGGAAUGGUUGAAAUUUCUGUUUAGAGUUUUCUAAGGAAUGCAAUCCAAUUACUUAAGGCACUUAUACAUAUAUUUGACAUAGGAUGGAAUAAAGGUAUAAAUACACAGCAGCAGCUUUAGAGCGAUUUGUCCUUUUCCUCAAAAGCUUGAUAUUUAUCCAGUUUGGUGAGUAUAUUUCCUUUUCUUUCUGUUGCUCCCCCCUCCCACCACGGUCUUUUAUCUCUCUUGAUGUGCAAAAUACAGACUUUGCCAAGCCCCUAAUUGAGGCAUUCUGAGCAGAAUGCCCCUAAUUGGUAGAAUUCUAAUUUGUGCCUGAGAUUUGUAAUCUUUUGAGUCUUCUUUUCCCUUAAUUGCUGCUUAAAAGUUCUUUGUUAGCAGUGACAACUCUUUUCCUUUAAAGCUUAAGUGCUUCUGGUUAUUUUGGAGACCUUGUGUAAUAACAAAAAGCAUUACGUAAAAAACAAGAUACAACCAGUUUUGGGAUGUGUUUGUAUUAGGUAUGGUUACCCUUUCCAUGUCAAGCUUAAUAUUAAGACAUUUCUAAGUUAGCAUAAGGUAAUCUGUGCAAAGUAGUUAAAUGAUACACUUGAGAUUAUCUUUGGUAUGAUUUUUCCAAUGGGAAGUAAAAUUGGAGGUGUUACCGGUUCAUGAAAAUCAAAAUUUAUAGAAAUGUGUAUAUAUUAUGUGUUCUUUAAAAAGGGCUAAACAAUGAAAAACUUAUGACUAAAGCUCAAGUUGAAAAUAGGAAGAAAAUAUAAAUGUCCAAUGAUUAAACUUUUUCCACUGCUGUUCACAUCAUGAUCUGUUGUGAUUAAUGUAUGUGGAUGAGGACAUAAUGGAAAAAGAAAAUCCUAGUGGGAGAAAAACAUUAUAGAUAUGAUGUAAUUUUUUUGUAUAUUGAUUUACUUGUAAAUGUGUUCCUGUUUUAGGAAUGAAAUUGAAGGGUGUUUUUGUCAGAUUUAUCUGAUAAAGAAUUUGAACAUUUAUAUAGUAAGAUACAGGUGGUCCUUACUUUGCACCGUUCCAUUAUACAUGAAGAUCAGUUUUCACAGUUUAGUUAAAUAACACUAAUCCUCCUACAACACAGUUGUAAUUUCAGUUACAAUAGUAACUGAAUCGUUGCAUAAGUUUUGUUGCUAGCUCUUUAUUCCACAACUGAUUAUGCAUUAUAAAAGAUGUGCAUCAUGGUCAGUAACCAGUUACAUCACAUCUUUCAAAGUCUCUUGGUGAUUGAUCACUAAACAUCUAUUAGUUCACGGAGUAAAGCAUGUAGUUGUAUUGCUUACUUGUUUCCCAGUAAUAAACCCAUGCAACAUUGUACAAAACUGGAUAAUCAGAAGAGGGAAUUGGCAGGGCAGCAAAGAAACAAGUGAUUUUUAACACUGGAAGUGAAAUUGGAUUUGAAAAUGGCGACAGCAUAUUGAAGACGAGAUGAGACCCAGGCCUACAUAAAGCUGCAGUAGAAACUGUGGUUUAAAAGUUCGAGGAAUAUAAAAAGCAAAGUAAAGUUGCUUCAACAUUUUUUAGUUUAAAUUACACUAGGAACAGAAAGCCACUUACAGUUGAAAUGGAGUGCUUGCUUCUACUUUGGAUGGAGGACUGUAAUAAAAAAUCCUAAUCAGUUUGGCUAGCAUUCAGGCCAGAGUGUUGAGGUUAGUUGCUGCGCUGAAGGAAAAUGGUAAUUACCAGGAGACUGAAAAAGAACAUUUUUUUGUUGGGAAAGGCUGGUUUCAUCGUUCAGAAGUCUGGAGCGCCUGCGUGGCUCAGUCGGUUAAGGUUAAGCAUCGUUUGGAGGUUGGCGUGAAUGGAAUAAUGUUCCACUGGUGAAGCUGCAUGUUCAGAUAAGGAUGCUACUGGGAAAUUUGCACCCAUGUUCCAAGAAUCACAGGCAGUCCUUGCUUUGCACAGUGGUAUGAGACUACUGUGCAAAAACUUGAUAGGAUUUGGCUGGAAUGUAAAUGGAGUUCCAGAAGGUAUGACUGUGGGAAUGUUUACACUGCUGCCAUUCAGGAAAUAGUUCUGGAUAUACAGCCAGAAGGUGCUGCUUCAGCAGCACAUACACUAAAAGUGGAUAUACAGCCAGAAGAAUUUAGUGAAGGUGAACAUAGUUAUAAAUGAGGAAAGCAGUUGUGUGUUGUGAAGGAUGAAUACAUUUGGAGGAAGUGAUUCAGGUGAAAAGCCACAUUAAAGGAACUCUCAGAUGUUUCAUGACACUGUGCAAAGCAUUAAACGUUAGAAACAGAUCAAACUCAGAAAAGAGGAUGACAAUUUGCCAAGGCAUAGGAAAGAUGGCUUGCUCCAUAUUGUAAGUUAUAUGUGAAAGCAAGCCCUGUUCAAACUACUCAAGACUUGUUUAUAAAGAAAUAAAACAUUCUAAUUUUCAAUGUUUCUAAUGUUUUGAAUAUUUUAUUUUUUAUAUUUCAACCAAAAUCAGUUUCUAAUGUUUGGACAAAUUUUAAGGUUAUAGAACAAAUCAGAUUGUUCUUUGAGAGGUUUCAGCUUUCAUAGUCCAACUGAGAACUCCCUGCAUUUAAAACAAACUAGGAACUCUUUAUAUUUAACCAGAUAUAUCAAGUCUAGAAACAAAUACACUUUUCCCUUAGAUUACCAGUUAUAUUAUGACAGUUUUCAUACUGUCUUUGUAUGCAUGCUACUAUAACAAGGCUUUGAAAUAAAAAUUUAUACA